UCCGAGAUGGUGCAACAGGCAGCACGCCCGGCUCUGGACCGGGAGGUUCGAGGUUCGAAUCCUCGUCUCGGAG
rnacentral:tRNA from 3 species